UACAGAGGUCUCAAGCGUUGUUCGGAUUCAUUGGGUUUAAAGGGUGCGUAGGCGGCCUAUUAAGUCAGGGGUGAAAGACGGUAGCUUAACUAUCGCAGUGCCCUUGAUACUGAUGGGCUUGAAUAUACUAGAGGUAGGCGGAAUGUGACAAGUAGCGGUGAAAUGCAUAGAUAUGUCACAGAACACCAAUUGCGAAGGCAGCUUACUAUGGUAUUAUUGACGCUGAGGCACGAAAGCGUGGGGAUCAAACAGG
rnacentral:rRNA from 1 species